GCGGCAACAGCUCAAAUUUGAAAUCUGGUCCCCUUUGGGGGCCCGAGUUGUAAUUUGAAGAGGAUGCUUUUGGCGAGGCGCCGUCCGAGUUCCCUGGAACGGGACGCCGCAGAGGGUGAGAGCCCCGUACGGUCGGACGCCGAGCCUCUGUAAAGCUCCUUCGACGAGUCGAGUAGUUUGGGAAUGCUGCUCAAAAUGGGAGGUAAACCCCUUCUAAAGCUAAAUACUGGCCAGAGACCGAUAGCGCACAAGUAGAGUGAUCGAAAGAUGAAAAGCACUUUGAAAAGAGAGUUAAAAAGCACGUGAAAUUGUUAAAAGGGAAGCGCUUGCGACCAGACUUGCGCCCGUCGGAUCAACCGUCGCUUGCGGCGGCGCACUCCGGCGGGCUCAGGCCAGCAUCAGUUCGCUCGGGGGGAGAAAGGCGGCGGGAAUGUGGCUCUUCGG
rnacentral:rRNA from 1 species